rnacentral:rRNA from 1 species
UACGGGGGGGGUAAGCGUUGUUCGGAAUUCCUGGGCGUAAAGGGCUCGUAGGCGGCCAACUAAGUCAGACGUGAAAUCCCUCGGCUUAACCGGGGAACGGCCUCUGAUACUGGCUGGCUGGAGUUCGGGAGAGGGAUGCGGAAUUCCAGGUGUAGCGGUGAAAUGCGUAGAUAUCUGGAGGAACACCGGUGGCGAAGGCGGCAUCCUGGACCGACACUGACGCUGAGGAGCGAAAGCCAGGGGAGCAAACGGG